rnacentral:miRNA from 15 species
GAUAUUUUUCCAUUCGUUUUGG